CGGCAGCACGGGUGCUUGCACCUGGUGGCGAGUGGCGAACGGGUGAGAAAAAACAUCGGAACAUGUCCUGUAGUGGGGGAUAGCCCGGCGAAAGCCGGAUUAAUACCGCAUACGAUCUACGGAUGAAAGCGGGGGACCUUCGGGCCUCGCGCUAUAGGGUUGGCCGAUGGCUGAUUAGCUAGUUGGUGGGGUAAAGGCCCACCAAGGCGACGAUCAGUAGCUGGUCUGAGAGGACGACCAGCCACACUGGGACUGAGACACGGCCCAGACUCCUACGGGAGGCAGCAGUGGGGAAUUUUGGACAAUGGGCGAAAGCCUGAUCCAGCAAUGCCGCGUGUGUGAAGAAGGCCUUCGGGUUGUAAAGCACUUUUGUCCGGAAAGAAAUCCUGAGGGCUAAUAUCCUUCGGGGAUGACGGUACCGGAAGAAUAAGCACCGGCUAACUACGUGCCACCAGCCGCGGUAAUACGUAGGGUGCGAGCGUUAAUCGGAAUUACUGGGCGUAAAAGCGUGCGCAGGCGGGUUUGUUAAAAACCGAUGUGAAAUCCCCGGGCUCCACCUGGGGAACUGCAUUGGUGACCUGGCAAGCCUAGAGUAUGGCAGAGGGGGGGUAGAAUUUCCCUCGUGUAUCAGUGAAAUUGCGUAGAGAUGUGGAGGAAAUACCGAUGGCCGAAGGCAGCCCCCUUGGGCCAAUACUGACGCCUCAUGCACGAAAGCGUUGGGGAGCAAACAGGAAUUAGAUACCCUGGGUAGUCCACGCCCCUAAACGAUGUCAACUAGUUGUUUGGGGAUUCAUUUUCCUUUAUUAACGUACCUAACGCCUUGAAGUUGACCCGCCCUGGGGGAGUAACGCUCGCAAGAUUACAAACUCCAAAUGAAUUUGAACGGGGACCCCGCCACAAUCGGGUGGGAAUGAUUGUGAAAU
rnacentral:rRNA from 1 species